rnacentral:lncRNA from 1 species
AUGGAGGAAAUGGGGAGGGGGGAGGCGGUGGGGGGCAGAGGCUGGGAGUUCGAGUCCUGGCUUCCAGGCCUCCUCUCCCUCAUUGACCGUGUAUCUUUGUCCCCGCCCACCCCCACCCCCCCCACCCCAAAGUCUCUGCAGCCUUGGGUGGCCCCUUCUUACCAUCCAGUGCGUGGACUCAGACAAAGUCCCAGACCCUCAGGGAAGCACGAGGUCAUGACCUUGGAGAAUCACUUCCCCCUCUGAGCCUCAGUUUCCUCUUCUGUCAAGUGGAGUCAUCGUGAGGUAGAAUGGGGGUGCCAGCUCAGCACUUUGGAAACUCCGCUGCCCUGAGGGAGGGAGUCAUCGAAGUCCUGACACGGACCUGACGUAGUUUCCCAGAUGGGGAACUGAGGCAGUAAAGGUCAGGGGACCCACACAAGGACACAGCCAGUGGAGGGCUCCCCGCUGCCAUUUCCUGGGAAGCAGCUACGCAAUGUCAAGACAGCAUGUGAUAGUGUCAGACCCCCCGAGUUCACACCCUGGCCCUGCCACUCACUGUGUGGCCUCAGGCAGGUCACUCUACCUCUCUGAGGCUCAGUUUUCUCUUCUGCAAGAUGGGGAGAAAACUGACCUGAUGGCCGGACUUAGGAGCGAAUUAAGCAUGUAAACCACCAAUGGCAGAGCCUGGCACCCAAUAGGUGGUAAGUCUUCUUCCCCGAGCAGAGGCUGUGCUGGGCCAUCGUGGUUCCGUUCAGGGCAGGAAGGGCCCCUGGCUGGAAAGGGUCAAGAGUCCAGCUAGUGUUGCUGGUCACUGACCCUCUGCUCUAUGUAAACAGGACCCGGCUGUCGUGCAUCUCAACCCUCCCCGGUGCUGGCCCGCUGGCCGCAGCCUCUGCCCUUUCUCACGCUCUCGGGUACCCGGCCCCGGGGCCUUUCCUGCCGCACCCCAGCCUUGCUCGCUCACGAGCGCUGUUCUCCAACCUCACCAGCCGCUUCUGCUUCUCUGUUGCUCCAAGCUCACUCCUGCCUCAGGGCCUUUGCACCUACAGGUCUCUCUUCCCGGGUUCCCUUUCCCCAUGUUUUCCCUUCUUUAACAGAAAUGUUAUUUUUAGAUUCUAUCAUUAGAAUCUAAAAACAAGACCUAGAAUAGUUUAGGCAUUUAAUAAAUAUUUGUCCCAUAAAUAAAUGAAUGAAUUU